rnacentral:tRNA from 1 species
GUCCCAGUAGCUUACAACACAAAGCAUUGGCCUUGUAAACCAAAGAUGGGUUCCCCUGGGACA